rnacentral:rRNA from 1 species
GGGCUCACACAAGCGGUGGAGGAUGUGGCUUAAUUCGAGGCUACGCGAAGAACCUUAUCCUAGUCUUGACAUGCUUGGAUUAACCCCAUGAAAGUGGGGCCACGCCUUCGGGUGGAACAAGCACAGGUGCUGCAUGGCUGUCGUCAGCUCGUGUCGUGAGAUGUCGCGUUAAGUCGCUUAACGAGCGAAACCCUUGUCACUAGUUGCCAGCACGUAAUGGUGGGGACUCUAGUGAGACCGCCGGCGUUAAGCCGGAGGAAGGUGGGGAUGACGUCAAGUCCUCAUGGCCCUUAUGACUAGGGCUACACACGUGCUACAAUGGGGAAUACAGACGGACGCUAAGCCGCGAGGUGGUGCUAA